GGGGAUUUAGUUCAGUGGGUCGGGCGCCUGCCUCGCAAGCACAAGGUCCUGAGUUCAAUCCCCAGUACCCCCC
rnacentral:tRNA from 1 species